GUCGCAAGACCAAAGUGGGGGACCUUCGGGCCUCAUGCCAUCAGAUGUGCCCAGAUGGGAUUAGCUAGUAGGUGGGGUAACGGCUCACCUAGGCGACGAUCCCUAGCUGGUCUGAGAGGAUGACCAGCCACACUGGAACUGAGACACGGUCCAGACUCCUACGGGAGGCAGCAGUGGGGAAUAUUGCACAAUGGGCGCAAGCCUGAUGCAGCCAUGCCGCGUGUGUGAAGAAGGCCUUCGGGUUGUAAAGCACUUUCAGCGGGGAGGAAGGCGUUAAGGUUAAUAACCUUGGCGAUUGACGUUACCCGCAGAAGAAGCACCGGCUAACUCCGUGCCAGCAGCCGCGGUAAUACGGAGGGUGCAAGCGUUAAUCGGAAUUACUGGGCGUAAAGCGCACGCAGGCGGUCUGUCAAGUCGGAUGUGAAAUCCCCGGGCUCAACCUGGGAACUGCAUUCGAAACUGGCAGGCUAGAGUCUUGUAGAGGGGGGUAGAAUUCCAGGUGUAGCGGUGAAAUGCGUAGAGAUCUGGAGGAAUACCGGUGGCGAAGGCGGCCCCCUGGACAAAGACUGACGCUCAGGUGCGAAAGCGUGGGGAGCAAACAGGAUUAGAUACCCUGGUAGUCCACGCCGUAAACGAUGUCGAUUUGGAGGUUGUGCCCUUGAGGCGUGGCUUCCGGAGCUAACGCGUUAAAUCGACCGCCUGGGGAGUACGGCCGCAAGGUUAAAACUCAAAUGAAUUGACGGGGGCCCGCACAAGCGGUGGAGCAUGUGGUUUAAUUCGAUGCAACGCGAAGAACCUUACCUGGUCUUGACAUCCACAGAACUUUCCAGAGAUGGAUUGGUGCCUUCGGGAACUGUGAGACAGGUGCUGCAUGGCUGUCGUCAGCUCGUGUUGUGAAAUGUUGGGUUAAGUCCCGCAACGAGCGCAACCCUUAUCCUUUGUUGCCAGCGGUCCGGCCGGGAACUCAAAGGAGACUGCCAGUGAUAAACUGGAGGAAGGUGGGGAUGACGUCAAGUCAUCAUGGCCCUUACGACCAGGGCUACACACGUGCUACAAUGGCAUAUACAAAGAGAAGCGACCUCGCGAGAGCAAGCGGACCUCAUAAAGUAUGUCGUAGUCCGGAUUGGAGUCUGCAACUCGACUCCAUGAAGUCGGAAUCGCUAGUAAUCGUAGAUCAGAAUGCUACGGUGAAUACGUUCCCGGGCCUUGUACACACCGCCCGUCACACCAUGGGAGUGGGUUGCAAAAGAAGUAGGUAGCUUAACCUUCGGGAGGGCGCUUACCACUUUGUGAUUCAUGACUGGGGUGAAGUCGUAACAAGGUAACCGUAGGGGAACCUGCGGUUGGAUCACCU
rnacentral:rRNA from 1 species